rnacentral:rRNA from 1 species
GUUCCGACCCGCACGAAAGGUGUAACGAUUUGGGCACUGUCUCAACGAGGGACCCGGUGAAAUUGAAGUACCUGUGAAGAUGCAGGUUACCCGCGACUGGACAGAAAGACCCCAUGGAGCUUUACUGUAGCCUAAUAUUGGGUUUCGAUGUUGCAUGCACAGGAUAGAUGGGACGCUGGGAAAGAAGCGCUUUGGCGUUUCUGGAGCGGACGUUGGGAUACCAUCCUUGCGACAUUGGAAUUCUAACCUGCGCCUCUGAAUCGAGGCGGGGGACAUUGUCAGGUGGGCAGUUUGACUGGGGCGGUCGC